AGUGAACGCUGGCGGUAGGCCUAACACAUGCAAGUCGAACGGCAGCACAGUAAGAGCUUGCUCUUACGGGUGGCGAGUGGCGGACGGGUGAGGAAUACAUCGGAAUCUACUUUUUCGUGGGGGAUAACGUAGGGAAACUUACGCUAAUACCGCAUACGACCUACGGGUGAAAGCAGGGGAUCUUCGGACCUUACGCGAUUGAAUGAGCCGAUGUCGGAUUAGCUAGUUGGCGGGGUAAAGGCCCACCAAGGCGACGAUCCGUAGCUGGUCUGGGAGGAUGAUCAGCCACACUGGAACUGAGACACGGUCCAGACUCCUACGGGAGGCAGCAGUGGGGAAUAUUGGACAAUGGGCGCAAGCCUGAUCCAGCCAUACCGCGUGAGUGAAGAAGGCCUUCGGGUUGUAAAGCCCUUUUGUUGGGAAAGAAAAGCAGCAGGUUAAUACCCCGCUGUUCUGACGGUACCCAAAGAAUAAGCACCGGCUAACUUCGUG
rnacentral:rRNA from 1 species